rnacentral:misc_RNA from 1 species
AGAAAACAAUUUCCCAAGGCAAAGACAAUUGUCGUAAACAGAACACCAUAAAAACAUGGUUUAUUUUCUUGGGAGAUAACUUUGUUCGCUCCAUAUUGAGCAACAAAGUCCACAUUGAAUGAAAUGCAAAGUAUUAAAUGCAUGACUCAACAACAUGUAACUAUGAAGUGUGUCUGGAAACAAGCACAUUUUUAAAAUGGAGAAACAGAAGACCCCACUUUUGUCUAACUUGUAGGUGAUCUUUCUUAACUAGUACUUAGGUAGUCAAAUAUGUGCACAACCCUUUUUUUUCUCAAACAUGCUUUAACU